GUAGGUGGCAAGCGUUGUCCGGGAAUUAUUGGGGCGUAAAGCGCGCGCAGGCGGUUCUUUAAGUCUGAUGUGAAAGCCCACGGGCUCAACCGUGGAGGGUCAUUGGAAACUGGAGAACUUGAGUACAGAAGAGGAAAGCGGAAUUCCACGUGUAGCGGUGAAAUGCGUAGAGAUGUGGAGGAACACCAGUGGCGAAGGCAGCUUUCUGGUCUGUAACUGACGCUGAGGCGCGAAAGCGUGGGGAGCAAACAGGAUUAGAUACCCUGGUAGUCCACGCCGUAAACGAUGAGUGCUAAGUGUUAGGGGGUUUCCGCCCCUUAGUGCUGCAGCUAACGCAUUAAGCACUCCGCCUGGGGAGUACGGCCGCAAAGGCUG
rnacentral:rRNA from 1 species